UUUUCAGUUCUCUCGAAAAGGCGAUAUUGACUUUGAUUUUCAAGUACUCGAUUCCAUGUAAUGCACACGUUUCGUUCAUUUGAUCGUAACCGUUCGUGAUCGAAAGGGACGAAGAAUCGGCUGGUAAAUGAAAUAUUAAACGGGUAGCUUAAAUGACUAUGAAAGUUUUACAGAGUGUCCUCUUGGACGCGACGGAUCUGAUCGAACGUACAAUUGCCAGCUUCCAUCGACGAGGCAUUUGUUAGAACGAAAGGAAAUAUACCGAUGGGACUGCGUAAAAUUAUUUCCUGCUCGUUUGCGUACAUUUUUCUAUCGCAACGCUUCCCCCUAUCACUGGGUUCCGCGUACUUUGAAUUUCCAUCGAUUGACGUAGCGAAAACGUGCCGCAACCACUGCAAUACAGUACAACCGAGUGUCUUUUGACCAUCGCGCGUAAUCAUCGGACAUCGAAGCAAUUACUUUCAUCGAGAAGAAUUCUACCGAACAUUUAGACAGCGACUUGGUAAAAAUAAUCAGGAUUCUCGAUUACAAUUCGUCUCUACCGAACCAGCCCGUUCGAGGUUCGCAAGAUACUCGAACGUCGAAAGUAAUCCUAUUGUCAAGAAGAACGCGAGACGAACGAGGAUGAAUUUUAUCGAACAUUUAGACAGCGACUUGGUAAAGAUACGUUUAUCAUCGUGCUCGGUAUCGCAUCGAGUAUAAUUCGUUUCCAACGAACCAGGCCAUCCGAGGUUUACACGACGUACUCGACAUCGAAGGAAUCCUCUCGUCGAGAAAAACGCGACGAGGAAUUCUAUCGAACGCUUAGAUAGUUUCGUAAAAUACGUUUGUCGAGGUCCUCGAUUGUCGAACAGAAUUCUGUUCUGACGAGUCAGUCUCUCGUUCGAGGUUUACGAAUAUCCGACUUCGUGGACACCGUGUUCGAAGAGAUCCGGAGUCAUCGAACGAUCAAGUUCGGACGAGGAUUAAGCUCCGGUGCGCGGUUCUAUCGUCGAUCGAGAAGCCCCGUAAGGUGUCCGGUAAGUUUCGAAGCCUGUGAGUUGCGCAACCGUCGGAUGAUCCUCGACGAGUUCGAUUCAAGGGUAACUCAACUUGUUGCAAGAGAAUAUACCGCGUAGAAGAGAAGUGCGCCGAGAAAGCGUGUUCUCGCGAAACGGUUCAACGCCAUCCGUAUCCGUAUAUCCGGUGCUGAUGUAGCGACCAAUAUACAUAUAUACAUUUUCGUGCCGAGUGGCUGUACCGCGACACGAUAUCGUUGUCCAUUCGAUUCCUGUCGAUCCUUCGGCGCCGCGACGUUCGAUCGAUACCGCAGCCUCCGGUUUCUUUCGUUCGAUUUCCACGACGCUGCAACGACGACGACGACGACGACGACGUUGCCGCUUUUACUCUGCAUUUCUGCCCGGUGUCGCACCAGACGAGAUCCAUCAGCGUAGGUAAGUGACGAAAAAGUUAACAUAGACGAGUCCGCGUCUACUUUACCGAGACACAUAUCGUCACAGAUACCAGGAGACGGUACGCCGUUCGGAGGGGCAGUUGACUGUCGUGACUUGUAUUCGCGGGGGUCGAACAACAAAGAGGAGCAACUAGUGCGUAACACCGACCAACCGAAG